AACGGACGCUGGCGGCGUGUUUAAGACAUGCAAGUCGAACGGGGUGAAGUUGUAGCAAUACCGCUUCAUCCAGUGGCGCACGGGUGCGUAACACGUGAGUUACAUGCCCUGCAGUGGGGAAUAGCCCGCCGAAAGGCGGAUUAAUACCCCAUGGUUCCCGCGAGGGUAAAGGUGGCCGCAAGGCUACCGCUGCAGGAUUGGCUCGCGGCCUAUCAGCUUGUUGGCGGGGUAACGGCCCACCAAGGCGACGACGGGUACCUGGUCUGAGAGGAUGAUCAGGCACACGGGAACGGAGACACGGUCCAGACACCUACGGGUGGCAGCAGUCGAGGAUAAUUGACAAUGGGCGAAAGCCUGAUGGUGCAACGCCGCGUGGAGGAUGAAGGUCUUCGGAUUGUAAACUCCUGUCGUCGGGGAGUAAGACCUGGGCGUGAAUAGCGCACAGGGUUGAUAGUACCCGAAGAGGAAGGGACGGCUAACUUCGUGCCAGCCGCCGCCGUAAGAC
rnacentral:rRNA from 1 species